rnacentral:rRNA from 1 species
GAGUUUGAUCGUGGCUCAGAUUGAACGCUGGCGGAAUGCUUUACACAUGCAAGUCGAACGGCAGCACGGGAGCAAUCCUGGUGGCGAGUGGCGAACGGGUGAGUAAUACAUCGGAACGUGCCCAAUCGUGGGGGAUAACGCAGCGAAAGCUGUGCUAAUACCGCAUACGAUCUACGGAUGAAAGCAGGGGACCGCAAGGCCUUGCGCGAAUGGAGCGGCCGAUGGCAGAUUAGGUAGUUGGUGGGGUAAAGGCUCACCAAGCCAACGAUCUGUAGCUGGUCUGAGAGGACGACCAGCCACACUGGGACUGAGACACGGCCCAGACUCCUACGGGAGGCAGCAGUGGGGAAUUUUGGACAAUGGGCGCAAGCCUGAUCCAGCCAUGCCGCGUGCAGGAUGAAGGCC